rnacentral:rRNA from 1 species
GACGAAUGCUGGCUGCGUGCUUAACACAUGCAAGUCGAACGGUGAUCAGGGGCUUGCCCCUGGGAUCAGUGGCGAACGGGUGAGUAACACGUGGGCAACCUGCCCCUCACUCUGGGAUAACUCCGGGAAACCGGGGCUAAUACCGGAUACGACCGGGCCCGACAUCGGGCCUGGUGGAAAGAACGUCGGUGAGGGAUGGGCCCGCGGCCUAUUAGCUUGUUGGUGGGGUAAUGGCCUACCAAGGCGACGAUGGGUAGCUGGUCUGAGAGGAUGAUCAGCCACACUGGGACUGAGAUACGGCCCAGACUCCUACGGGAGGCAGCAGUGAGGAAUAUUGCGCAAUGGACGAAAGUCUGACGCAGCAACGCCGCGUGAAGGAUGAAGGUGCUCUGCAUUGUAAACUUCUGUAGGGAGGGAAGAACCCCCCGUUAUUGACGGGGCCGACGGUACCUCCAAAGUAAGCACCGGCUAAUUCCGUGCCAG